rnacentral:rRNA from 1 species
GACGAACGCUGGCGGCGUGCUUAACACAUGCAAGUCGAACGGAAAGGCCCUGCUUUUGUGGGGUGCUCGAGUGGCGAACGGGUGAGUAACACGUGAGUAACCUGCCCUUGACUUUGGGAUAACUUCAGGAAACUGGGGCUAAUACCGGAUAGGAGCUCCUGCUGCAUGGUGGGGGUUGGAAAGUUUCGGCGGUUGGGGAUGGACUCGCGGCUUAUCAGCUUGUUGGUGGGGUAGUGGCUUACCAAGGCUUUGACGGGUAGCCGGCCUGAGAGGGUGACCGGCAACAUGGGGACUGAGAGACGGCCCAGACUCCUACGGGAGGCAGCAGUGGGGAAUAUUGCACAAUGGGCGGAAGCCUGAUGCAGCAACGCCGCGUGCGGGAUGACGGCCUUCGGGUUGUAAACCGCUUUCGCCUGUGACGAAGCGUGAGUGACGGUAAUGGGGAAAGAAGCACCGGCUAACUACGU